UACGUAGGGCGCAAGCGUUGUCCGGAAUUAUUGGGCGUAAAGAGCUCGUAGGCGGUUUGUCGCGUCUGCUGUGAAAACCCGAGGCUCAACCUCGGGCCUGCAGUGGGUACGGGCAGACUAGAGUGCGGUAGGGGAGAUUGGAAUUCCUGGUGUAGCGGUGGAAUGCGCAGAUAUCAGGAGGAACACCGGUGGCGAAGGCGGGUCUCUGGGCCGAUACUGACGCUGAGGAGCGAAAGCGUGGGGAGCAAACAGG
rnacentral:rRNA from 1 species